GUUGUCUCAUUUGUUGUUCCACACUUCUGUAGCCAUCUUCCAAAAGCUCCUGUCCUCACAAAGAACUGUGUUGUGGGGUUUUUCUUGGGUUAGCAGGCCCUGUCUGUUGUUACACGUCGUUUAUGCAACGGUCGGUCAGGUAAACAAUAACAAAUGAAUUGUUUAAUGUUACCGGGUCAGCCCCCCUUCCGUUUUUGUAUGUCUAGCGCUACACAAAUGAUAUAUUCAAUAGAUGGUCUUAGUCUUUACCGUCGCAACUAACCUCUAGAGGUCUUUUUUUGCUUUAAAUACAUGGGGUAAUAGGGAAAUCUGUUGUAGACACGCAUGAAUCGGACAAACCUCAAGUUCACAAGAAAAGAUUGAAUGUGCUAGGGGUAAUCGACAUGUUUCAGUAAUGCCCACCAGAUGGACGGAAACCGGUAGAGUAUUGGCGAGUCAAGCACCGUGAUCGAGGUAGGUGAUGGGGGUAAGGAUUUAAAUUUUAUUCUUUCUAAUCCAGUUGCAACUUCAGCACCUUCACUUCACUGAGGCUUCUAAUCCAGUUGUGAGGAUCGCAGAAGGCUGAUGACGGCAACAGAGGAGAAAGGUGGAUGAGGUGAUUUCGGAGGCCCGAUGAUGAGGGCAACAAUGAUGGUAAGGUUUUGUUUUGAGGGGUUUUAAUGAAUCAAGAUAGUACCCACAAAUCUUAAUGUGGCUCUCGACUAACAUGGUGAAGAACUUAUUUAUAACUUUUUGUAAAGCUUAUUAAGCAUGUUUUAGAGCUGGGAAGUUUUUUUGAAUAUGUUUAAGUUGUAAAUUAACUAACCAAAACCUGUUACGAAUAUUUACCUUUUUAUUAGCUA